rnacentral:rRNA from 1 species
AUGUCGGAUUAGCUAGGUUGGCGGGGUAAUGGCCCACCAAGGCGACGAUCCGUAGCUGGUCUGAGAGGAUGAUCAGCCACACUGGAACUGAGACACGGUCCAGACUCCUACGGGAGGCAGCAGUAGGGAAUAUUGGACAAUGGGCGCAAGCCUGAUCCAGCCAUGCCGCGUGAGUGAAGAAGGCCCUCGGGUUGUAAAGCUCUUUUGUCCGGAAAGAAAAGCGCCGGGUUAAUACCCUGGUGUCCUGACGGUACCGGAAGAAUAAGCACCGGCUAACUUCGUG